GACGAACGCUGGCGGCGUGCUUAACACAUGCAAGUCGAACGGUAAGGCCCUUCGGGGUACACGAGUGGCGAACGGGUGAGUAACACGUGGGUGAUCUGCCCUGCACUUCGGGAUAAGCCUGGGAAACUGGGUCUAAUACCGGAUAGGACCACUGCCUGCAUGGGUGGUGGUGGAAAGCUUUUGCGGUGUGGGAAGGGCCCGCGGCCUAUCAGCUUGUUGGUGGGGUGAUGGCCUACCAAGGCGACGACGGGUAGCCGGCCUGAGAGGGUGACCGGCCACACUGGGGCUGAGAUACGGACCGGACUCCUGCGGGAGGCAGCAGUGGGGAAUAUUGCACAAUGGGCGCAAGCCGGAUGCAGUGACGCCGCGUGAGGGAUGACGGCCUUCGGGUUGUAAAGUUCUUUUAGUUGGAAAGAUAAUGACGGUACCAACAGAAAAAGCCCCGGCUAACUCCGUGCCAGCCGCCGCGGUAA
rnacentral:rRNA from 1 species